rnacentral:rRNA from 1 species
UACAGAGGGGGCAAGCGUUGUUCGGAAUUACUGGGCGUAAAGGGCGCGUAGGCGGCCCGCUAAGUCGAACGUGAAAUCCCCGAGCUCAACUCGGGAACUGCGCCCGAUACUGGCGGGCUUGAAUCCGGGAGAGGGAUGCGGAAUUCCAGGUGUAGCGGUGAAAUGCGUAGAUAUCUGGAGGAACACCGGUGGCGAAGGCGGCAUCCUGGACCGGCAUUGACGCUGAGGCGCGAAAGCUAGGGGAGCAAACGGG